rnacentral:rRNA from 1 species
UCUAUGUAGUUGCUUUCUACAGUACGAAAGGACCUAGAAAACAGGACCCAUGCCAACAGCACGUCCUUACUCCAUAGGCUGAUCUAAACUAAAGCCUAACAUAAACCAAAAUUAAACCCGAAGAUAUACGGGCU